rnacentral:rRNA from 1 species
AGUGAACGCUGGCGGUAGGCCUAACACAUGCGAGUCGAACGGCAGCACAGUAAGAGCUUGCUCUUACGGGUGGCGAGUGGCGGACGGGUGAGGAAUACAUCGGAAUCUACUUUUUCGUGGGGGAUAACGUAGGGAAACUUACGCUAAUACCGCAUACGACCUACGGGUGAAAGCAGGGGAUCUUCGGACCUUGCGCGAUUGAAUGAGCCGAUGUCGGAUUAGCUAGUUGGCGGGGUAAAGGCCCACCAAGGCGACGAUCCGUAGCUGGUCUGAGAGGAUGAUGCGCCACACUGGAACUGAGACACGGUCCAGACUCCUACGGGAGGCAGCAGUGGGGAAUAUUGGACAAUGGGCGCAAGCCUGAUCCAGCCAUACCGCGUGGGUGAAGAAGGCCUUCGGGUUGUAAAGCCCUUUUGUUGGGAAAGAAAAGCAGCAGGUUAAUACCCCGCUGUUCUGACGGUACCCAAAGAAUAAGCACCGGCUAACUUCGUG